UCUCCUACGGGGGGCAGCAGUGAGGAAUAUUGGUCAAUGGGCGGAAGCCUGAACCAGCCAAGUCGCGUGAGGGAAGAAGGCCCUGCGGGUCGCAGACCUCUUUGGACGGGGAGCAAGGCCGCCGACGUGUCGGCGGAAGGAGAGUACCCGUAGAACAAGCAUCGGCUAACUCCGUGCCAGCAGCCGCGGUAAUACGGAGGAUGCGAGCGUUAUCCGGAUUUAUUGGGUUUAAAGGGUGCGCAGGCGGAGGCACAAGUCAGCGGUAAAAUCGCGGGGCUCAACCCCGCUCCGCCGUUGAAACUGUG
rnacentral:rRNA from 1 species